AGUGAACGCUGGCGGUAGGCCUAACACAUGCAAGUCGAACGGCAGCACAGUAAGAGCUUGCUCUUACGGGUGGCGAGUGGCGGACGGGUGCGGAAUACAUCGGAAUCUACUUUUUCGUGGGGGAUAACGUAGGGUAACUUACGCUACUACCGCAUACGACCUACGGGUGAAAGCAGGGGAUCUUCGGACCUUGCGCGCUUGUAUGAGCCGAUGUCGGAUUAGCUAGUUGGCGGGGUAAAGGCCCACCAAGGCGACGAUCCGUAGCUGGUCUGAGAGGAUGAUCAGCCACACUGGAACUGAGACACGGUCCAGACUCCUACGGGAGGCAGCAGUGGGGAAUAUUGGACAAUGGGCGCAAGCCUGAUCCAGCCAUACCGCGUGGGUGAAGAAGGCCUUCGGGUUGUAAAGCCCUUUUGUUGGGAAAGAAAAGCAGCAGGUUAAUACCCCGCUGUUCUGACGGUACCCAAAGAAUAAGCACCGGCUAACUUCGUG
rnacentral:rRNA from 1 species